GAAUUCCAAAUGGGAGCUUAGGGCAGACUUCGGAGUAGGUGAAAAGUCUGCAGCUGCUGAGUGGCCGAGGAGGGAGAAACACUUUAAAGACACAGGCUGAGGCUUAACCGGGGCAAUACACUUAAUGAUUUGAGUAGCACUAAAAGGAACUUUCAAUUUGAAUAUGACUGAUUUGACCACUUGCAGGAGGAGGACAUGGUUCAACAGGAAGAGGCCCGCUACCGGACAAGCCUAAGAAUCUCUAUGCUGAGAGAGCUUUAAGUUGGAUUUUUACUGCUGCUAUCAAACACUGAAGUACAGGAUGACUUCCUGUUCUGGAAUGCUGUGCUCUGAGCAUAACAGCCAUUGCCACUGUCGUCGGAGCAGCUGGGACAGCCCACAAGAGAACCUCAGGAUCAGGCCUGCUGGUGCUCUAUUAUCCAGAAAGGGGUGGGGAGGGGGGCGUCAUAAGUCCUCCUUCCUACACCUCCCUCCAGCUGAAUGUAAUUCUGCCUAAAGCUUAGGCCCUUAACUUUUGCAGGGUCUAAGCUCUUGGUCUCAGGAGAGGGUAGGAGUAUGGCAUCGGCUAAGUGAAUUGGGGAGGAGAUGCUUUAUUUAUGGAGCUGUGAGCUGGCAUGAGACUUUUCAGUGGCACGGCUUCUUUGGAGGUCACUUGAGCUCCUGGAAGUAACUCAUGCUCCUUAGCAUAAGCUCGCCCAUGUUCUCCCUGUACGUCAGUUCAGUCAACUCAGUGGUUUGCCAAGUUGGACU